CCGGUUCCGGUUCACGCCCGUUCGUACCAGUCGGGCGACCCGGAGC
rfam:Propionibacterium acnes KPA171202, complete genome.